ACGGAGGGUGCAAGCGUUAUCCGGAUUCACUGGGUUUAAAGGGUGCGUAGGUGGGUCUGUAAGUCAGUGGUGAAAUCUCCGAGCUUAACUCGGAAACUGCCAUUGAUACUAUAGGUCUUGAAUCAUCUGGAGGUAAGCGGAAUAUGUCAUGUAGCGGUGAAAUGCUUAGAUAUGACAUAGAACACCAAUUGCGAAGGCAGCUUACUACGGGUGUAUUGACACUGAGGCACGAAAGCGUGGGGAUCAAACAGGAUUAGAUACCCUGGUAGUCCACGCCCUAAACGAUGGAUACUCGACAUCAGCGAUAUACUGUUGGUGUCUGAGCGAAAGCAUUAAGUAUCCCACCUGGGAAGUACGACCGCAAGGUUG
rnacentral:rRNA from 1 species